UACGUAGGGCGCGAGCGUUGUCCGGAAUCAUUGGGCGUAAAGAGCUCGUAGGCGGCCGGUUGCGUCUGCUGUGAAAUCCCGGGGCUUAACCCCGGGCGUGCAGUGGAUACGGGCUGGCUGGAGGCAGGCAGGGGAGAAUGGAAUUCCCGGUGUAGCGGUGAAAUGCGCAGAUAUCGGGAGGAACACCGGUGGCGAAGGCGGUUCUCUGGGCCUGUGCUGACGCUGAGGAGCGAAAGCGUGGGGAGC
rnacentral:rRNA from 1 species